GAUGAACGCUGGCGGCGUGCCUAAUACAUGCAAGUCGAGCGAACGGACGAGAAGCUUGCUUUUCUGAUGUUAGCGGCGGACGGGUGAGUAACACGUGGAUAACCUACCUAUAAGACUGGGAUAACUUCGGGAAACCGGAGCUAAUACCGGAUAAUAUUUUGAACCGCAUGGUUCAAAAGUGAAAGACGGUCUUGCUGUCACUUAUAGAUGGAUCCGCGCUGCAUUAGCUAGUUGGUAAGGUAACGGCUUACCAAGGCAACGAUGCAUAGCCGACCUGAGAGGGUGAUCGGCCACACUGACACUGAGACACGGUCCAGACUCCUACGGGAGGCAGCAGUAGGGAAUCUUCCGCAAUGGGCGAAAGCCUGACGGAGCAACGCCGCGUGAGUGAUGAAGGUCUUCGGAUCGUAAAACUCUGUUAUUAGGGAAGAACAUAUGUGUAAGUAACUGUGCACAUCUUGACGGUACCUAAUCAGAAAGCCACGGCUAACUACGUG
rnacentral:rRNA from 1 species